GGGUGGGGCCUGUAACUCAGAGGAUUAGAGCACGUGACUACGAACCACGGUGUCGGGGGUUUGAAUCCCUCCUCGCCCA
rnacentral:tRNA from 1 species